AGUCGAACGGCAGCACGGGAGCAAUCCUGGUGGCGAGUGGCGAACGGGUGAGUAAUAUAUCGGAACGUGCCCAGUCGUGGGGGAUAACGCAGCGAAAGCUGUGCUAAUACCGCAUACGAUCUAUGGAUGAAAGCGGGGGAUCGCAAGACCUCGCGCGAUUGGAGCGGCCGAUAUCAGAUUAGGUAGUUGGUGGGGUAAAAGCUCACCAAGCCGACGAUCUGUAGCUGGUCUGAGAGGACGACCAGCCACACUGGAACUGAGACACGGUCCAGACUCCUACGGGAGGCAGCAGUGGGGAAUUUUGGACAAUGGGCGCAAGCCUGAUCCAGCAAUGCCGCGUGCAGGAUGAAGGCCUUCGGGUUGUAAACUGCUUUUGUACGGAACGAAACGGUCCUUUCUAAUACAAGGGGCUAAUGACGGUACCGUAAGAAUAAGCACCGGCUAACUACGUGCCAGCAGCCGCGGUAAUACGUAGGGUGCGAGCGUUAAUCGGAAUUACUGGGCGUAAAGCGUGCGCAGGCGGUUUUGUAAGACAGAUGUGAAAUCCCCGGGCUCAACCUGGGACCUGCAUUUGUGACUGCAAGGCUAGAGUACGGUAGAGGGGGAUGGAAUUCCGCGUGUAGCAGUGAAAUGCGUAGAUAUGCGGAGGAACACCGAUGGCGAAGGCAAUCCCCUGGACCUGUACUGACGCUCAUGCACGAAAGCGUGGGGAGCAAACAGGAUUAGAUACCCUGGUAGUCCACGCCCUAAACGAUGUCAACUGGUUGUUGGGUCUUCACUGACUCAGUAACGAAGCUAACGCGUGAAGUUGACCGCCUGGGGAG
rnacentral:rRNA from 1 species